UUAUAAUUGUGUUGCUUGCUCUGGUGGCUUCUUGUGAACCAGUUUUUUUUGUUAUGUGCUUGUGGUUCAAUUUCACGAUUUGGUUAUAGUGUUUAAUUUCUUUCUGCUUCUUCAGGUGCUUUUAUUUGCUUAGGUCAUGUUACUUGAAAGCAUAUAUGUUCAUGAAUUCAUUAGAUCCUGGGGAACUUAUUAUGGUUGUUCAGAGAUUACUUUACUCGGGUAAUAUAAUUGAGUUCUCAUUAUUUUGCUGGCAGUAUUGAAAUCCGGUUAACGUGUAUAGGAAAUGUGGGGGGUUGUGUUUUUUGACAUUGAAACCGGAGACCAUUGGUAUUGAAAAUGGACCUGAAGGUUAACUGAUGGCUUGCCCUGAUCUUUUAUAUUUGAUACAAAUAGGUAGACCCUUUGGUGGCAGCCAUCAAUCUAGUUUAGUAAUGUGUUUGGAUAUAAUUAUAUAUGAUAUUUACCACUGAAAUACCUGAGUUUAAAUGAGUUCUUGAACUGAUUUUGAAAUUUGAGACAACAUGACAUUGCUCUCAUUUGCCGUUAAAGUACAAUAUUUUGUGCAUGAAGUUCUUGUGUACAAAACUAGACUGUACGACUGUAA